GGGGAAUAUUGCGCAAUGGGGGAAACCCUGACGCAGCAACGCCGCGUGCGGGAUGACGGCCUUCGGGUUGUAAACCGCUUUCAGCAGGGAAGACAUCGACUGUACCUGCACAAGAAGCCCCGGCUAACUACGUGCCAGCAGCCGCGGUAACACGUAGGGGGCGAGCGUUAUCCGGAUUCAUUGGGCGUAAAGCGCGCGCAGGCGGCCGCCUAAGCGGGACCUCUAAUCCCGGGGCUCAACCCCGGGCCGGGUCCCGAACUGGGCGGCUCGGGUGCGGUAGGGGUAGGCGGAAUUCCCGGUGUAGCGGUGGAAUGCGCAGAUAUCGGGAGGAACACCGACGGCGAAGGCAGCCUACUGGGCCGUCACCGACGCUGAGGCGCGAAAGCCGGGGGAGCGAAC
rnacentral:rRNA from 1 species